UUUUGAAGUAAUCUAACGGCUAAUUGUAUAACAAAAACAUAGAAAAUAUUUUUCUAAAAUCUUUGAGGUUGGUAAUGCUAAUUUAGAGCUACGAAACAAUAAUCAAACCCAAGGUCUUCAUAGAGCUUGUUUAAGAUGGUUGUUCAAUUAGUAAUAAGCAUUAUUAGAUUGGUUUGGACCAUCAUUAUGUCUAUUUGGGCAUGUUGCAUAUACCACGAAAGCAAAAAAGUUGAUAAAGGGACCUAUACAAAAAUUGACGGUGAAAGUUAUAUUGGCGAUAAAAAUGGUAUAAAAAACGACAAGAAUAUACCAGCUUUAGUCUAACACUGAUUUGCAGAACUCAUUUCCUUGUUUCAUCCUUACUAUUGGUAUGAAAUAUGAAAAAGAUUGGAAUUGAUUUUGGUUUGACAGGAUUUAAUUUUUAUUGUAAUAUUAUAAUACUUGACAUAAUAGCUUUUAGUAA